rnacentral:rRNA from 1 species
GGUUGUAAAGCACUUUCAGCGAGGAGGAAAGGGUGGAAGCUAAUACCUUUUCAUCUGUGACGUCUACUCGCAGAAGANGCACCGGCCUAACUUCCGUGCCAGCAGCCGCGGUAAUACGGAGGGUGCAAGCGUUUAAUCGGAAUUACNUGGGCGUAAAGCGCACGCAGGCGGUCAGAAUAAGUUCAGAUGUGAAAGCCCCCGGGCUUCAACCNUGGGAACNUGCAUUUGAAACNUGUUCNUGACCAGAGUUCNUUGUAGAGGGGGGUUAGAAAUNUCCAGGUUGUUAGCGGUUGAAAUGCGUUAGAGANUCNUGGAGGAANUACCCGGUGGCCGAAGGCGGCCCCCUUGGACAAAGACNUGACGCUUCAGGUUGCCGAAAGCCUUGGGGAGCAAACAGGACUUAGANUACCCCUUGGUUAGUUCCCAAGGGCCGAAAUUUNUGCAGAAUNUCCAUCACAAUUGGCCGGCCCGCUUCG